rnacentral:rRNA from 1 species
GAGUUUGAUCGUGGCUCAGAUUGAACGCUGGCGGCAGGCCUAACACAUGCAAGUCGAGCGGAUGAAGGGAGCUUGCUCCUGGAUUCAGCGGCGGACGGGUGAGUAAUGCCUAGGAAUCUGCCUGGUAGUGGGGAGUAACGUCCGGAACGGGCGCUAAUACCGCAUACGUCCUGAGGGAGAAAGUGGGGGAGUCUUCGGACCUCACGCUAUCAGACGAGCCUAGGUCGGAUUAGCUAGUUGGUGGGGUAAAGGCCUACCAAGGCGACGAUCCGUAACUGGUCUGAGAGGAUGAUCAGUCACACUGGAACUGAGACACGGUCCAGACUCCUACGGGAGGGCAGCAGUGGGGAAUAUUGGACAAUGGGCGAAAGCCUGAUCCAGCCAUGCCGCGUGUGUGAAGAAGGUCUUCGGAUUAUAAAGCACUUU